UACGAAGGGGGCUAGCGUUGCUCGGAAUCACUGGGCGUAAAGGGUGCGUAGGCGGGUCUUUAAGUCAGGGGUGAAAUCCUGGAGCUCAACUCCAGAACUGCCUUUGAUACUGAAGAUCUUGAGUUCGGGAGAGGUGAGUGGAACUGCGAGUGUAGAGGUGAAAUUCGUAGAUAUUCGGAAGAACACCAGUGGCGAAGGGCGACUUACUGGACACAUAUGACGCUGAGGUGCGAAAGCGUGGGAGCAACAGGG
rnacentral:rRNA from 1 species